AUUGAACGCUGGCGGCAUGCCUUACACAUGCAAGUCGAACGGCAGCACGGGUGCUUGCACCUGGUGGCGAGUGGCGAACGGGUGAGUAAUACAUCGGAACAUGUCCUGUAGUGGGGGAUAGCCCGGCGAAAGCCGGAUUAAUACCGCAUACGAUCUACGGAUGAAAGCGGGGGACCUUCGGGCCUCGCGCUAUAGGGUUGGCCGAUGGCUGAUUAGCUCGUUGGUGGGGUAAGGCCUACCAAGGCGACGAUCAGUAGCUGGUCUGAGAGGACGACCAGCCACACUGGGACUGAGACACGGCCCAGACUCCUACGGGAGGCAGCAGUGGGGAAUUUUGGACAAUGGGCGAAAGCCUGAUCCAGCAAUGCCGCGUGUGUGAAGAAGGCCUUCGGGUUGUAAAGCACUUUUGUCCGGAAAGAAAUCCUUGGCCCUAAUACGGUCGGGGGAUGACGGUACCGGAAGAAUAAGCACCGGCUAACUACGUG
rnacentral:rRNA from 1 species